UACAGAGGGUGCUAGCGUUGUUCGGAAUCAUUGGGCGUAAAGGGUCCGUAGGCGGUUUGGUAAGUCAGUGGUGAAAGCCCAUCGCUCAACGGUGGAACGGCCAUUGAUACUGCCAGACUUGAAUUAUUAGGAAGUAACUAGAAUAUGUAGUGUAGCGGUGAAAUGCUUAGAGAUUACAUGGAAUACCAAUUGCGAAGGCAGGUUACUACUAAUGGAUUGACGCUGAUGGACGAAAGCGUGGGUAGCGAACAGG
rnacentral:rRNA from 1 species